rnacentral:rRNA from 1 species
CCUACGGGAGGCAGCAGUGAGGGAUAUUGGUCAAUGGACGAGAGUCUGAACCAGCCAAGUAGCGUGAAGGAUGACUGCCCUAUGGGUUGUAAACUUCUUUUAUAUGGGAAUAAAAUGUUCCACGUGUGGGAUUUUGUAUGUACCAUAUUAAUAAGGAUCGGCUAACUCCGUGCCAGCAGCCGCGGUAAUACGGAGGAUCCGAGCGUUAUCCGGAUUUAUUGGGUUUAAAGGGAGCGUAGGUGGAUUGUUAAGUCAGUUUUGAAAGUUUGGGGCUCAACCGUAAAAUUGCAGUUGAAACUGGCAGUCGUGAGUCCAGUAGAGGUGGGCGGAAUGCGGGGUGUAGCGGUGAAAUGCUUAGAUAUAACGAAGAACUCCGAUUGCGAAGGCAGUUCACUGGACUGCAACUGACACUGAGGCUCGAAAGUGUGGGUAUCAACAGGAUUAGAUACCCGGGUAGUC